rnacentral:rRNA from 1 species
UACGGAGGGGGCGAGCGUUGUCCGAAGUUACUGGGCGUAAAGCGCGUGUAGGCGGGUUGCCAAGUCCGCUGUGAAAGCCCGAGGCUCAACCUCGGAGGGUCGGUGGAUACUGGCAGUCUUGAAGGUGCUAGGGGGAGAUGGAAUUACCGGUGUAGCGGUGAAAUGCGUAGAUAUCCGGAGGAAUACCAAAGGCGAAGGCAGUGUCCUGGAGGGUGACUGACGCUGAGGCGCGAAAGCUAGGGGAGCGAACAGG